rnacentral:rRNA from 1 species
UCCUACGGGACGCAGCAGUGGGGAAUAUUGCACAAUGGGGGAAACCCUGACGCAGCGACGCCGCGUGAGCGAAGAAGUAUUUCGGUAUGUAAAGCUCUAUCAGCAGGGAAGAAAAUGACGGUACCUGAGUAAGAAGCUCCGGCUAAAUACGUGCCAGCAGCCGCGGGAAUACGUAUGGAGCAAGCGUUAUCCGGAUUUACUGGGCGUAAAGGGAGCGUAGACGGAAGAACAAGUUGGUUGUGAAAUCCCUCGGCUCAACUGAGGAACUGCAACCAAAACUAUUCUCCUUGAGUG